rnacentral:rRNA from 1 species
UACGUAGGGAGCAAGCGUUGUCCGGAAUCAUUGGGCGUAAAGCGCGCGUAGGCGGCCCUGUAAGUCCGUUGUGAAAGUCAAAGGCUCAACCUUUGAAAGCCGAUGGAAUACUGCAGGGCUAGAGUCCGGAAGAGGCGAGUGGAAUUCCUGGUGUAGCGGUGGGAAUGCGCAGAUAUCAGGAGGAACACCAAUAGCGAAGGCAGCUCGCUGGGACGGUACUGACGCUA